CCAGUAGCAGAGAGACAGCAGUAAAACAGAGGCAAGGAGAGAAACAGAAAAGCACAGCCUGUCUGUGUUAUAAUCCAUUACGUGACAGUCUGUCUGUGUAAUCCACUGUGUGACUGCUCUCUCUAAACACAUCGCAGCUCAGGAAAACACACAAAGAGCAAGAUCACACUGGAUGAGAAGACUUCAGAAACAAGAGACAUUAUUAUAUUAGGUAGGAUGAGAAGACUUCAGAAACAAGAGACAUUAUUAUAUUAGGUAGGAUGAGAAGACUUCAGAAACAAGAGACAUUAUUAUAUUAGGUAGGAUGAGAAGACUUCAGAAACAAGAGACAUUAUUAUAUUAGGUAGGAUGAGAAGAAGAGACAUUAUUAUAUUAGGUAGGAUGAGAAGACUUCAGGAACAAGAGACAUUAUUAUAUUAGGUAGGAUGAGAAGACUUCAGGAACAAGAGACAUUAUUAUAUUAGGUAGGAUGAGAAGACUUCAGGAACAAGAGACAUUAUUAUAUUAGGUAGGAUGAGAAGAAGAGACAUUAUAUUAGGUAGGAUGAGAAGACUUCAGAAACAAGAGACAUUAUUAUAUUAGGUAGGAUGAGAAGAAGAGACAUUAUUAUAUUAGGUAGGAUGAGAAGACUUCAGGAACAAGAGACAUUAUUAUAUUAGGUAGGAUGAGAAGAAGAG